UUUAGCCACACAUUUUAGGAAGGUAAUUAAGGAACUAAAAUUAAUCCAGAAGAGAGUCAACAGUAUGGUGAAAGCAUCUGAUUUCAUGCCAUAAAAGGAAAUAAGGACAGAACUGAAGAAGUUAAGCAAAGGAGGAAAAGUCACUACAGGAACAACAUCUGUUAAACAUGAAAGCUCCAAAAGGAAAAUUCAUCCACAAGAGUAGUCACACGUAAAUUGAAGAGGAUUUGCCUAAAGUUGUUUUGCCAGAACAAAUUUCAUUGGAAUUGAAAACUUCCUUUGCCCAAUAAUAACUACAAAACAAUAACAGCAACAACAGCAAUGAAUACAACAGUGACAACAUUGACAACAAUGAUGAUAAUGAAAGUACUUUAUACAUGCUGACACAAUGCUCAUAUUGUCAUAAGGAUGGGAUUGGACAGGAGAAAAAUGAUGACUUUAGUAUUAGAGGCCUCACAUUAAAAAGCCAGUUUUGCUAUUUUUUCCUGAUGUGAUCAUGAGUAAAUCAGUCCUCUGGACCACAGUUUCCCCAAAUUUAAAAUGGGCAGGCAGAGAACCCUUACCAAAAGGUCAGCAAAAUAGAAGAACCAUAUUUUCUACAGUAGUUUUAGGAUUCAGGAGAUCAGCUUGA
rnacentral:lncRNA from 1 species